GGCAAUGUGAUGCAAUAGAAAGAAUGCUGAACUCAGAAUCCAGAAAAUAAGGAUUCAAAUUCUAUCUCUGCUA
rnacentral:tRNA from 1 species